CUGGCUCAGGAUGAACGCUAGCGACAGGCUUAACACAUGCAAGUCGAGGGGCAGCAUAAAAGUAGCAAUACUUGGUGGCGACCGGCGCACGGGUGAGUAACGCGUAUGCAACCUACCUAUCAGAGGGGAAUAACCCGGCGAAAGUCGGACUAAUACCGCAUAAAACAGGGGCACCGCAUGGUGAUAUUUGUUAAAGAAAUUCGCUGAUAGAUGGGCAUGCGUUCCAUUAGGUAGUUGGUGAGGUAACGGCUCACCAAGCCGACGAUGGAUAGGGGAACUGAGAGGUUGGUCCCCCACACUGGUACUGAGACACGGACCAGACUCCUACGGGAGGCAGCAGUGAGGAAUAUUGGUCAAUGGACGAGAGUCUGAACCAGCCAAAAGUAGCGUGAAGGAUGACUGCCCUAUGGGUUGUAAACUUCUUUUAUAAGGGAAUAAAGUGAGGGACGUGUCCCUUUUUGUAUGUACCUUAUGAAUAAGGAUCGGCUAACUCCGUGCCAGCCGCCGC
rnacentral:rRNA from 1 species